rnacentral:tmRNA from 1 species
GGGGACGACAGGUCUCGACGGAAAAAGUACUUUAAAAACUGCAGGUCAAGUUUAACCAAACUUGUAAAAAUUGGUUAAAAAAACAAGCGACAACGUAAAAGUUAGCGCUCCAACCGGCUACGCUUACGCGUUUGCCUAAGUUGGCAUCUCAAAAAGUGCUUCUUGACCGCUUUUUGAUGGUGUAAACCAGUCAAGAUCGGCUUUAGUUUGUUGGUUUUCAGGCUAAAGCUCAAAAAUUAAAACCUCACUUUGGGAAUUCUUGUCAGUAAGUAAAUUCCAGAGGAAAAAACAAUACUGACUAAACCUGUAGAAGUUUUUAGAUAUUUUUUCUCGGAUGAGGGUUCAAAUCCCUCCGUCUCCACCA